rnacentral:rRNA from 1 species
GUUUUGACUGCCUUCAUUGAAGAAGAGAAGUGGAAAUUUGAGCAAGGAAGGAGAGUGAAAAAAGUGCAGUACAAGAAACAACACUUUCUGAAGCAAAAUGUUCUGAAGCUUUCACCUGAAGAACUCGUUGCCUUGCAAGCUGAGAUCAAGCAAUUAAGUGAUGAAUUUGAUCGCUACUAUGCUGACUGGCUUGGAGCCAAAGUCAGAUUUGUGAAUUUGACUGAAAAGUUCACCUCCAAUGUUGCAGCCCCAACGCAGCAAGCAAAUCCUCAGGCUGAAGCAUCUGUUCAGCCGACUGAAGAAAAUACUAGCACCGCUGAUGACAGUCAGGCUGCUGAAGAAACUCAAAGUACC